AUUGAACGCUGGCGGCAGGCCUAACACAUGCAAGUCGAGCGGCGGCGAGUCCUUCGGGAUGCCGGCUAGCGGCGGACGGGUGAGUAAUGCCUAGGAAUCUGCCUGGUAGUGGGGGACAACGUUCGGAAACGGACGCUAAUACCGCAUACGUCCUACGGGAGAAAGCGGGGGAUCUUCGGACCUCACGCUAACAGAUGAGCCUAGGUCGGAUAGCUAGUUGGUGGGGUAAAGGCUCACCAAGGCGACGAUCCGUAACUGGUCUGAGAGGAUGAUCAGUCACACUGGAACUGAGACACGGUCCAGACUCCUACGGGAGGCAGCAGUGGGGAAUAUUGGACAAUGGGCGAAAGCCUGAUCCAGCCAUGCCGCGUGUGUGAAGAAGGUCUUCGGGUUGUAAAGCUCUUUAAGUUGGGAGGAAGGGCAGCUAGUUAAUACCUGGUUGUUUUGACGUUACCAACAGAAGAAGCACCGGCUAACUUCGUGCCAGCCGCCGCGGUAAAAC
rnacentral:rRNA from 1 species